rnacentral:tRNA from 1 species
GGGCGGUUAGCUCAGCUGGUUAGAGCGCUGGUCUCACAUACCAGAGGUCGGGGGUUCGAUCCCCUCACCGCCCA